rnacentral:rRNA from 1 species
CCUACGGGAGGCAGCAGUAGGGAAUAUUGCACAAUGGGGGAAACCCUGAUGCAGCGACGCCGCGUGAGUGAAGAAGUAAUUCGUUACGUAAAGCUCUAUCAGCAGGGAAGAAACACUGACCUUACGGUCAGCAGACGGUACCUGAGUAAGAAGCCCCGGCUAACUACGUGCCAGCAGCCGCGGUAAUACGUAGGGGGCAAGCGUUAUCCGGAUUUACUGGGUGGAAAGGGAGCGUAGACGGUGCGACAAGUCUGGAGUGAAAUGACGCAGCUUAACUGCGGAACUGCGUUGGAAACUGGCGAACUAGAGGGCGGGAGGGGUAAGCGGAAUUGCUAGUGUAGCGGUGAAAGGCGUAGAUAUUAGGGGGAACACCGGUGGCGAAGGCGGCUUACGGGACCGUAACUGACGUUGAGGCUCGAAAGCGUGGGGAGCAAACAGGAUUAGAUACCCCUGUAGUC